AAACCAACAGGGAUUGCCUCAGUAACGGCGAGUGAAGCGGCAAAAGCUCAAAUUUGAAAUCUGGCCUCUGGUCCGAAUUGUAAUUUGAAGAAGCGACUUUGGUACCGGCUCUUGUCUAUGUUCCUUGGAACAGGACGUCACAGAGGGUGAGAAUCCCGUGCGAUGAGAUGCUCCGGUGCUAUGUAAAGCGUUUUCGACGAGUCGAGUUGUUUGGGAAUGCAGCUCUAAGUGGGUGGUAAAUUCCAUCUAAAGCUAAAUAUUGGCGAGAGACCGAUAGCGAACAAGUACAGUGAUGGAAAGAUGAAAAGAACUUUGAAAAGAGAGUGAAAAAGUACGUGAAAUUGUUGAAAGGGAAGGGCUUGAGAUCAGACUUUGUAUUUCCAUGGCGCUCUUUCGGGGGUGUCCUCUGGGUUUACAGGGCCAGCAUGGGUUCUGCGGGCGAGAUAAGGUUCUAGGAAUGUGGCUCUGCUUCGGUGGAGUGUUAUAGCCUGGGGUACUAGUCGCCACGCGGGACCGAGGACUGCGAUUCUAGGAUGCUGGCAUAAU
rnacentral:rRNA from 1 species